rnacentral:rRNA from 1 species
ACUGGUGUGGUUGUUGCUGGCCCUCUCGGGGGCAUGUGCACACCCACCAUCCUCAUCUCUCCACCUGUGCACCUCUUGUAGACCUGGAUAGACUUUCCGAGGCAACUCGGUCGGGAAGAUUGCUGCGCUCUGUGAGCCAGCUUUCUUUGCAUGUCCAGGCCUAUGUUUUUCAUAUACCCCUAUAGAAUGUAACAGAAUGUAUCAUUGGGCCUUGUGCCUAUAAACCUUAUACAACUUUCAGCAACGGAUCUCUUGGCUCUCGCAUCGAUGAAGAACGCAGCGAAAUGCGAUAAGUAAUGUGAAUUGCAGAAUUCAGUGAAUCAUCGAAUCUUUGAACGCACCUUGCGCUCCUUGGUAUUCCGAGGAGCAUGCCUGUUUGAGUGUCAUUAAAUUCUCAACCUUAUUAGCUUUUGUUGAUAAUGGAUUGGAUGUGGGGGUUUAUUUUGCUGGCUUCUUCACAGAGAUCAGCUCCCCUUAAAUGCAUUAGCUGGUGCCCCGCGUGGACCAUCUAUUGGUGUGAUAAUUAUCUACGCCGUGGAUGUCUGCAAUCAUAUGGGUUUUGCACUGCUUCUAACCGUCUGUUCAUUCGGACAAUACAUGACAAUUUGACCUCAAAUCAGGUAGGACUACCCGCUGAACUUAAGCAUAUCAAUAAGCGGAGGAAAAGAAACUAACAAGGAUUCCCCUAGUAACUGCGAGUGAAGCGGGAAAAGCUCAAAUUUAAAAUCUGGCGGUCUCCGGCCGUCCGAGUUGUAAUCUAGAGAAGUGUUAUCCGCGCUGGACCGUGUACA